rnacentral:sRNA from 1 species
GUUUGCACUUGUCGGGGAAGGGUGAGAACCUUCGAUUAAGGUUCGACUCGAGCUAAAGCGAGAGAACGUUGCCAACGGCAACGGCCCGUAGGGUGAGGAGCGAAGCGACGAAUAAUCCUUCCCCCACCACCA